rnacentral:rRNA from 1 species
UGGGGAAUAUUGCGCAAUGGGCGAAAGCCUGACGCAGCGACGCCGCGUGAGGGAUGAAGGCCUUCGGGUUGUAAACCUCUUUCAGCAGGGACGAAGCGCAAGUGACGGUACCUGCAGAAGAAGGACCGGCCAACUACGUGCCAGCAGCCGCGGUAAUACGUAGGGUCCGAGCGUUGUCCGGAAUUAUUGGGCGUAAAGAGCUCGUAGGCGGUCUGUUGCGUCGGUUGUGAAAACCUGGGGCUCAACUCCAGGCCUGCAAUCGAUACGGGCAGACUAGAGUUCGGUAGGGGAGACUGGAAUUCCUGGUGUAGCGGUGAAAUGCGCAGAUAUCAGGAGGAACACCGGUGGCGAAGGCGGGUCUCUGGGCCGAAACUGACGCUGAGGAGCGAAAGCGUGGGGAGCGAACAGG